UGGGGAAUAUUGGACAAUGGGCGCAAGCCUGAUCCAGCCAUGCCGCGUGAGUGAUGAAGGCCCUAGGGUUGUAAAGCUCUUUCCCCGGUGAAGAUAAUGACGGUAACCGGAGAAGAAGCCCCGGCUAACUUCGUGCCAGCAGCCGCGGUAAUACGAAGGGGGCUAGCGUUGUUCGGAUUUACUGGGCGUAAAGCGCACGUAGGCGGACUUUUAAGUCAGGGGUGAAAUCCCGGGGCUCAACCCCGGAACUGCCUUUGAUACUGGAAGUCUUGAGUAUGGUAGAGGUGAGUGGAAUUCCGAGUGUAGAGGUGAAAUUCGUAGAUAUUCGGAGGAACACCAGUGGCGAAGGCGGCUCACUGGACCAUUACUGACGCUGAGGGGCGAAAGCGUGGGGAGCAAACAGG
rnacentral:rRNA from 1 species